GGCUCAAUGGUCUAGUAGUAUGAUUCCUGCUUCGGGUUCACGCCCCUCGCUUGGCAGCGAGCAAUUGCAGGAGGUCUCGGGUUCAAUUCCCGAUUGAGCCC